AGCCCAUUCCAUGCUUGAAGCCUUUGGUAGCCGGACAUCGUACGAUGACUCGUACGGUUCGUCUCAAACCUCGACCUCGUUUCCUUGUGGUCCCACACAACAGCAGUCUUCCCAAGCACCUUAUUGGUCUCAGCAGCAUUAUCCAGGUGAUGCACACCCACCUUACCAACCUCACGGAGGGACUCAGUUUAGUACCAUGGCACCAGCUGCAGGGAUGUCAUUUCAACCAACACAGUCACCACCACGACCUUUCGGAUCACAACAGUUAUAUGAUGUUGGACCUUCUUCGUAUUACCCUACGGUGACAGUAGAAG